CCUACGGGAGGCAGCAGUGGGGAAUAUUGGACAAUGGGGGCAACCCUGAUCCAGCCAUGCCGCGUGUGUGAAGAAGGCCCUCGGGUGGUAAAGCACUUUCAGUGAGGAAGAACGCCUGGUGGUUAAUACCCAUCAGGAAAGACAUCACUCACAGAAGAAGCACCGGCUAACUCCGUGCCAGCAGCCGCGGUAAUACGGAGGGUGCGAGCGUUAAUCGGAAUUACUGGGCGUAAAGCGCGCGUAGGUGGCUUGAUAAGCCGGUUGUGAAAGCCCCGGGCUCAACCUGGGAACGGCAUCCGGAACUGUCAAGCUAGAGUGCAGGAGAGGAAGGUAGAAUUCCCGGUGUAGCGGUGAAAUGCGUAGAGAUCGGGAGGAAUACCAGUGGCGAAGGCGGCCUUCUGGACUGACACUGACACUGAGGUGCGAAAGCGUGGGUAGCAAACAGGAUUAGAUACCCGAGUAGUC
rnacentral:rRNA from 1 species